AUUGAACGCUGGCGGCAGGCUUAACACAUGCAAGUCGAGCGGGGUGAUGGUGCUUGCACUAUCACUUAGCGGCGGACGGGUGAGUAAUGCUUAGGAAUCUGCCUAUUAGUGGGGGACAACAUCUCGAAAGGGAUGCUAAUACCGCAUACGUCCUGCGGGAGAAAGCAGGGGAUUACUUGUGACCUUGCGCUACUAGAUGAGCCUAAGUCGGAUUAGCUAGUUGGUGGGGUAAAGGCCUACCAAGGCGACGAUCUGUAGCGGGUCUGAGAGGAUGAUCCGCCACACUGGGACUGAGACACGGCCCAGACUCCUACGGGAGGCAGCAGUGGGGAAUAUUGGACAAUGGGGGGAACCCUGAUCCAGCCAUGCCGCGUGUGUGAAGAAGGCCUUAUGGUUGUAAAGCACUUUAAGCGAGGAGGAGGCUCUUUUGGUUAAUACCCAAGAUGAGUGGACGUUACUCGCAGAAUAAGCACCGGCUAACUCUGUGCCAGCCGCCGCGGUAA
rnacentral:rRNA from 1 species